rnacentral:rRNA from 1 species
CUUCGGGGAACGAUAACGGCGUCGAGCGGCGGACGGGUGAGUAAUGCCUAGGAAAUUGCCCUGAUGUGGGGGAUAACCAUUGGAAACGAUGGCUAAUACCGCAUAAUGCCUACGGGCCAAAGAGGGGGACCUUCGGGCCUCUCGCGUCAGGAUAUGCCUAGGUGGGAUUAGCUAGUUGGUGAGGUAAUGGCUCACCAAGGCGACGAUCCCUAGCUGGUCUGAGAGGAUGAUCAGCCACACUGGAACUGAGACACGGUCCAGACUCCUACGGGAGGCAGCAGUGGGGAAUAUUGCACAAUGGGCGCAAGCCUGAUGCAGCCAUGCCGCGUGUGUGAAGAAGGCCUUCGGGUUGUAAAGCACUUUCAGUCGUGAGGAAGGUGGUAGUGUUAAUAGCACUAUCAUUUGACGUUAGCGACAGAAGAAGCACCGGCUAACUCCGUGCCAGCAGCCGCGGUAAUACGGAGGGUGCGAGCGUUAAUCGGAAUUACUGGGCGUAAAGCGCAUGCAGGUGGUUUGUUAAGUCAGAUGUGAAAGCCCGGGGCUCAACCUCGGAAUAGCAUUUGAAACUGGCAGACUAGAGUACUGUAGAGGGGGGUAGAAUUUCAGGUGUAGCGGUGAAAUGCGUAGAGAUCUGAAGGAAUACCGGUGGCGAAGGCGGCCCCCUGGACAGAUACUGACACUCAGAUGCGAAAGCGUGGGGAGCAAACAGGAUUAGAUACCCUGGUAGUCCACGCCGUAAACGAUGUCUACUUGGAGGUUGUGGCCUUGAGCCGUGGCUUUCGGAGCUAACGCGUUAAGUAGACCGCCUGGGGAGUACGGUCGCAAGAUUAAAACUCAAAUGAAUUGACGGGGGCCCGCACAAGCGGUGGAGCAUGUGGUUUAAUUCGAUGCAACGCGAAGAACCUUACCUACUCUUGACAUCCAGAGAACUUUCCAGAGAUGGAUUGGUGCCUUCGGGAACUCUGAGACAGGUGCUGCAUGGCUGUCGUCAGCUCGUGUUGUGAAAUGUUGGGUUAAGUCCCGCAACGAGCGCAACCCUUAUCCUUGUUUGCCAGCGAGUAAUGUCGGGAACUCCAGGGAGACUGCCGGUGAUAAACCGGAGGAAGGUGGGGACGACGUCAAGUCAUCAUGGCCCUUACGAGUAGGGCUACACACGUGCUACAAUGGCGCAUACAGAGGGCAGCAAGCUAGCGAUAGUGAGCGAAUCCCAAAAAGUGCGUCGUAGUCCGGAUUGGAGUCUGCAACUCGACUCCAUGAAGUCGGAAUCGCUAGUAAUCGUGGAUCAGAAUGCCACGGUGAAUACGUUCCCGGGCCUUGUACACACCGCCCGUCACACCAUGGGAGUGGG